ACCUGAAAAUGUUGCAGUGGGAGAGUUAAGCAAGUUAGUUUGAUGUAAUCCAAGUCUCAGCAGGUUUGAUCUGGCCCCUGUUUGCCACCACAGCACCCUGGACUUACAUGUUCCAAGGCAAACCAUGUGUUCUUUGUGCAGCAGCAUUGGAAGAUUGCUGGGGAGGAUAAAAGUUUUACCAUCUUUUCACCUCCCAUUCAAAAAGGAACUGACAAAUGGAUUAUAGGAUUGAUCUGUACCAGAAGACACAUUAUUUUUAAAAGGUCCUUUAGAAUGUCCCCCAGCUGGUUUCAGGGCUGUGUAACUGUCCUUCCCUGCCAACCUUUAUAUUUUCUCAUGAAAAAUUUCAUAUCAGAAAAAUGCUCUUUUCCAGACCUAGCUGCAAGGAUAGCUGUUUCCUUCCUCCCUGUACAUUUCCUUCCCUCAUAUUUUAUACAUGCAAAGGCAUAUACAUUCUUACUCCUUUCUGCCAUCCUUACAUGGCUGCAGUUCUGAUUUCAUUGAUUGCACACACCAGUGUCUGCAGAGCUACCUUAAGUAAGUUGAAGCCGCUGGGAAUUCAAGGUGAAUACAUUUUUCUCCUUCAGAUGCAUUGUUUUAGUUAAAAGCCAUUGCGGCUGCUCCAUAACAAAACCAGACACGCUGGGCCCCCAUUGUCCGGCUCUUGGCCAAGGCAGCAUGUAUGGAUUAAGUGAUGAAUUGCAAAAAGGGCCUAAAAGCCAAGCUGUAACUUCACAAAAAGGCCAUUAAAGGUGAGCACUGUCAGUGAAGUGCCCAUUCAGAAGGGCUUUUAUGACCCUCGGUGUUCCAGAGACACUCUGGAGCUACAAAUGGUUCAGGCUCCCAGACUUUCUGCCCAAGUGACAUCCUCAGCCGAACCUGGCUGCGAGAGCUGCUCCUUGCAGGAAUGGGAGUGGGACACUGGCACUAUCUACACCCAGCAGGCGUUGCCAAAGUAAACAGUCACGGAUGGCUAUUUGGAAAGCAGGGGAGAGAAGAAAGGGACACAGAGUCAGGACUGGUCCAAAUGUGUCCAGACAAGCACUACACAUCAGCUGAUAUGUGUUGGGGGCCAAGUGCUGCCAGAGUUAAAAUUUCUGGGAAAAGGAGUCCAUUUGUUGAGAGACAGGCACAAGAGAUAGAAUUGCAAGGUCUUCUCUUGGAUCAAAGAUGCCAUGCCUGAAUUCUUGAGCCUUUAGGGGGAGCAGGGUGUGAGCUUGGCAUUAAUCAGCCCCCUUCUGAUUUAUUUCAUGGCAUAAAUCAGCCCCCUUCUGAUUUAUUUUAUUUAUUUAUUUUAAGUCUUGAAGUCAGAGGAGGUGUUUGAGUAAUUCCAAGCUUACAGAGUUCAAGCAUAUCAAUCCUUCACUUCUCUGAAGCAGAUAAUUUAGCCUUCAGCCAGCUCCCUGUGUGGGAACCUAUCAGGCAGUGUCCUAAAUGAAACUCCCUUCCUCCGCGCUGUGCUGGUCCAUGGAUAUCACACAUCUCUGCAGAAGUUCAGAAUUUGGUCCAGGCCAACAAAGAAAACUGUCCCCAGCUGGAUCAGUGUGCCUGGUAACUUUUGUGUGGGCCCUGGAUGCACUGCAGAAGUGUUUUAGGGAUGUAAUGUAUUUAUAACCUGCAUUUUUUAUCAGGCUCUGAAAAGAGUUCUAAAGUUCCUUCUCUGAUGCCUUGACACAAAGUACAAGAGGACAAAGCAGACCUUUUGUGUAGGAAUAUCUUCUUUCCCUGUCCCAUCUCCACACUGAUUUGCUCCUUAGUUCAGCCAGCUGCUGAAUGUCUGCUCUUCUUCCUUCUCAGAUUAACUACAAGAACUCAGACUUUUUGCCUUCAUCUGGGACUUGUUCCUUGCUGGGAGCUUCAUCUUAUAAAGCAGUGAGGGUUCACCUGGCUCCUUCUGGUCAGAUGAGCAUAAUUCAUGGACAGAGCUUGGGCUACUGACAGCUAGACCGGAGCGGUUGUCUCAAGUGCUUGAGACUCCUGCAGCCUCCUCUCCCCACAGCAGAGUCACCAGAAUGUCCAGGGGCAGGCUCUCAUGUGACUUUGAUCCAUGCCAGGGAUGGAUUCCAGAUGGAUACUUCCCCAGAGUUGGCCUACAGGCAUGUUUCACACAGCAUUGAUGGGGUGUUAACGAUGCUAAAAUUUCAGCCAAGCUCCUCAGACAUGCUGGGUUGGGAAUGAGGAGAGGAGUUCUUUAAUAAAAACCUGAUGUAGACCGAGGGCUUUUACCUGUAGCACAGCCAGAGGAGCCAUCAGAGCACCUGGAAGAGGGAAGUGAAGGUGCAGCCCCUCCGUGUUACCAAGUUACUGAAGCACCAGUGAUCUCGGCAUUUCCCAAGCCUCUGGCUGGAACUGGGCCUGGGAUGAAGCCAUUUUUUGGAAGUUGCCAGGUGGUGUGCAAGCGGUGGCUUGAUCCUGUGGGGUCUGGAGGGGAUUUGCCUCUGGGAGCUGUGAGGUGGCCCAGGGCGAAGGGAGCUGAGGGAAGGAUCAGGCACAUCCCCACGGAGCUGUGGCUGCACUCCUGCCUCCAGCUCCCCACAGGGCCUGCAGUGCUCUGGGACACACACAGAGCUCAGAGCAGUCCUGGGAAGGGGCUCAGGGUCUGCUCUCCCCUGCCCUCAAGUCCUGCCUGAUUCCUGGGGUGGGGACAUGCCACAGGCAGAAUGGAGCUGAGCCUUUGGGCUGGGCUUGGGCUGCCUGAGUGGCGUUACCACACACCUGCUGGGGUCAUUUUGGCUCAGACAUCACACUUCUUUUUUCCUGAAGUGAAUUAUCCUGAUCUAUAUCCUAGUUUAGAGGCCAUUCCACAUCUGUGCGUUUGGCUUAAUGUUUUAGGUUUUGUGUGUGUGUGUCUUGUUAUUAAUUACUUCUGGUAUUUUAUUGGCCAGUUCCACAACAUUCUGGGAUCUUUCUGUAGGUCUUUGCAGAAGGCUGUAGUUUUUGUUGUCCUAAAUAAUUUUAUAUGAUCUUAACUAAAGUUUGCAAACUAAUGCUCUGUAUUCUGCCGCCUGAGAGCCUUAAAAUGAACCAGAACUCCAGUGAACCAGUGGCAUUGAUUGUUACACCUCAAGGAGUAGCAAAGCCAACAG